UCCUCCACCAAGCAAGUGUUGUAUAUUGUACGAUAUUCUGAUUGUUAAUGUCUGCAAUCUAAUGCCUUGCUCUGCAUUUUAAUUUUUAAUCUCAACAUUUCCAAUUUUACCAGUUGGAGAUUAUUUGAAUGAUUCAGUUUUGGGGGAAGAAAGCGAGGGCCGUCGAGAAGGGGGGCCAAAGUGGGCGACCACCCAGGACCCCCAAUUCUAGGGGCCCCCAAAUCGCUGUUAUGUAUCAGGAUGAAAAAGGCCCAGCUUACCUGGAUCAUCCCUGAUGGCCUUGGCAUCAUUACAAGGAAGACAAGCUUUUCGACUCCAUCUGUAUGUGCCAGGAAAGGUGAAUCUCAGAGAUUUGUCUUGUAGACUGGUGGCAUGAUGCUACAACCAGUGUUCAAGGGGACAUGGUAAAAAGUAGCAAAUUCACAAGUUGAUGGAAGAUGUUAUCGUGAUCGCUCUUGUUCAGAACAUGGUUGACACAUUUUGUCAUAUGGAAGUUGAUGUUUGCUUGGCUGCUUUGUACCUAGGAUAUUAGCAAGCAGAAGGGCAGAAAUGUAUAUGGGUCAAAUGGCAGAAAGUAAUCCCACAAGAUGAUAUAUGAUGUUCUGCUGAUCACUUUUGUUCAUAACAUGGUUGACACAUUUUCGUCAUAUGGAAGUUGAUGUUGACUUGGUGAUCAAAGACUUGGCCCCUUCCAUACUACCCCCUCCCCCCUCCUAAAAUAAGUGUCUUUGGGACGGAGGUAGUAUUUUGUAGCAGUCAAGUGAAAGAACAAUUGGUUUCUUAGGAACUUGAUCAUCAUAUUUUGUAACAGGCCACAUCCUACAUGUCAAACUUGUGUAUUUCCUAAAUGGUUGUAGAUAACUUGAGUGAAGAAAAUUAAUGGAUCUUCUAUAUAUGUUGAAUGAAUGCAUUGGCCAAUGGUAUCUUGUGAUGA